UACGUAGGGGGCUAGCGUUGUCCGGAAUCAUUGGGCGUAAAGAGCGUGUAGGCUGCUCGGUAAGUCCGCUGUAAAAGUCAAAGGCUCAACCUUUGAAUGUCAGUGGAUACUGCCGGGCUAGAGGACGGGAGAGGAGCGGCGGAAUUCCCGGUGUAGCGGUGAAAUGCGUAGAGAUCGGGAGGAAGGCCGGUGGCGAAGGCGGCGCUCUGGGAACGUUUCUGACGCUGAGGCUCGAAAGCGUGGGGAG
rnacentral:rRNA from 1 species